GAACAUAGACAGCAGCACAUAUACUAAAAUUAAAACAAUAGAGAGAAGAUUAGCAUGGCCCCCAUGCAAGAAUGACACACAGGGAGUUGGGGCAUCCUGAGAGCUG